UAUUUAAAUAAUAAAAUAUUAAUAAAAAAUCAAAAAAUAUCUGAAAUCACAAAAGAAAAAAAUGACCAUACAAAUAAAAUGUUCUCCCCACUUUCCCCUACUCAUGUAAAAAAAGCCCAAAAGAAUAUUUGCUGUAGCUUGUACCAAGCAAGCCUCACCGUUAUCUAGUCUGGACUGUAUUUGGAAUUUAAUAUCUAUUUCUUGGUGAAGAAAAAGAAAAACAAUUUUAAACAGGCAAGCAACCAACAGCAAACUGCCAACCACUGUUAACAAACAGUGCUGACAUAAUAAAGAAUGUAAAAGGAAAAAAUAAUCAAGAAUCAAGGAUCAAGAAUUGGAGCUGAACAGAAAUCAAGAAUUAAGAAAAUGGUGUUCAAUAGCUUGAUAAUAGCAUCAGUAGCGCACACAUCAGCAGAUUUAUGGCAAGAGAUAGCAAGAAUUCAAGUCCAAGAUCGUAUAAGCAGCCACCAGCUUCUUGAUCUGAUAUGUUGUUUUCCUCUUCAGCAAUUGGGUAGUUUUGCUCUUUGGCUUUGGACUUUUCUUUGUCUUCCUCCUCCUGAUUCUUUCUAUCCUUACACUUAUUACUCCUCUACUACUACUACCUCUUCUUCUGAUUAUGGUCUUGAUCAUGAUCAAAAUCUUGAUUAUGAUGAAGAUGAUGUUCUUGAUCAUCCUCCUCCUCAUCUUCGUUAUGCUCUUGGCUCUUUUUCUUCUUCUUCUUCUUCCUCUUCAUCAUCAUCAGUUGAUCUUCAUCACUACUACCAUCACUCUCACUCUGAUUGAUUCACUGUUAAAGAUGGCUUCUUCUCCAAUUUCACACCCUUUUUAUACUAACUUCAUGCAGGUUUUCUCAGUUAUCACUCGAAAACACAAGAUGAUGUAAUGAACAGCAUUGUUCUUGUUUUAGUGACCUGCUGAUAUGUUUGUUUGCAAGCUUCAACUUUUAAUGGUGCUUGCUGAAAUGGUUAGCCUCUUGCCAUGUUAUCUGCUGUAGAAGUUGACUAGAUAGGGGAUUGAGCAAGAUUGGCUUCAGGUCUGACUUAGACUUUCAAUGCUGAAUCACAGAAAAAUAUUUUGCAAGUAAGCCAAUUUGAAGGAUCUAAGUUGCGUCUGGGGCUUGUCUUCUAUGUAUGUUCAUGAUAACUAAUAGUGUGGAAUCUUUUGUAGCUUAUACAUAAGUUCUGAUGCUAAGAUAUUUCUUCAUUUUUAGGUUCUGUGCUAUCUAUUAGUAAAAUUGAAAGCAAAUUAUAGUGUAACUUUCUAUGUAAAGUUUUUGGUACUUGUUUCCCUUGUGUUUUCUUUGGAAAAUUUCUUUUGACUGAACCUCUGGAAAUGAAGCGUUCUGCUCAUACUAUUUGCAA